UAUAGGUUUGGUCCCAGCCUUCCUGUUAACUUUCAAUAGACUUAUACAUGCAAGCAUCCACGCCCCGGUGAGUAACGCCCUUCGAAUCACACAGGACUAAAAGGAGCAGGUAUCAAGCACACACUCUUGUAGCUCACAACGCCUUGCUUAACCACACCCCCACGGGAGACAGCAGUAACAAAAAUUAAGCCAUAAACGAAAGUUUGACUAAGCCAUAUUGACUAGGGUUGGUAAAUCUCGUGCCAGCCACCGCGGUCAUACGAUUGACCCAAGCUAACAGGAGUACGGCGUAAAGCGUGUCAAAGCAUCAUACUAAAUAGAGUUAAAUUUUAAUUAAACUGUAAAAAGCCAUAAUUAUAACAAAAAUAAAUGACGAAAGUAACCCUACAAUAGCUGAUACACCAUAGCUAAGACCCAAACUGGGAUUAGAUACCCCACUAUGCU
rnacentral:rRNA from 1 species